CCACAUUUUUUAGUUAACUUUCCAUUUAAUGUAUGCUCUCUCUUUAAGUAAAACUUUACACAAUGCUGAUUUUACUAUAUCCAAGAGAAACGAAAGACAGCAAUGCUGGGAUUUGCUUUUCUGGCUGGACAGGAAACUGUCAGGUAGAUUAAGAUGUGUCUCAAGAAGACUGUUCACUCGUAUGAUCAGCAGUAAUGACACAGAGUAAGAUGUCAGUGCACGUCCAGGAAUCUGUAAGGCAUAUGCAUGAUCAUACUGAUGUGGAGACUGUAAUUAAGUAAAUAUUCAAGCUUAAGUGUAUAUAAUGUGUAAUGUGACCCUCAAAUAUGCACAUUUUCUUUAACAGGAGUUUUGGUUCCAGUUUCAUAUAAAGCAUCAUUUGAUCUCAGCCCAGGAUGAGCCUGUCUUUGUAAGAGGCUGGCUGACAUCAAACACGAAUGUGAGAUGUCGGUCAGGAUUCCUUUGUUGGCGUUUACGGUUUUAAAUUUGGAAGCACGAGAGUCAUGUCACAAAACAACAUGGUUCUGAAGAUUGUCUUUGGGAGAAACGGCAACAAAAACUACAUCUGGUAAGAAACCUCAUUCAGUUUUUACACUGAAACCUGUUUGUCUCAAAAGAGUAUCAUCUAUAGUUUCAUCCAAUGUGUCAUUUUCAAAAUUUCAGCAAUUUAUCGUGAAUCAGCACAAUGACCUUGUGCGAGGACAUUUAUUCAGACUGACCAUAGAAAUCCUAUGUCCACUGUGCGUUAUCACCAUUGAGUAUCAGUGGGUGCAUCCAAAAGCUGGAAACUGUUGCUUUCAUAGGCUGUAUAUGGAGUUGGGAUGAAAAUAUGGUGCCUUUCAAACUGUUCUGAGACUAGUUCAGAAAGACAACACACUGUAGGUAAAGUCAUUCACUAAUUAGGGAACAAGUGAGCAUCCUAUAGCUUUCCUAUGCAACCAAGUGCAUUCACUCCUGACUUCCUGUCAAAAGGACAGUUUCAGGCUGCAGAUGAUGCACCACUCGACAUGGUUGGCAGUCAUGGGACAAUGGAAAUCAGUACAUUGAUUUAGAAUCUAUGAAGAUUCAUUUUAUUUUAACAUGGUUGGCAGUAAUUGGACGAUGCUGAGCAUUACUUUGAAUCAGAAUUAAUUAUGCUAAUUUCUGAGGUUGCUCAUGCAACAUGCUAUCAGUAGUGCCACAGGAAAACAUGAGCACAUUUGAAUUAAUGCAAAAAUGUCUGAUGGUGGAUGGUGCUUGUCAGUAAUACGGCUGGCUCUGACAGUACUGACCAACCAACUGUCUUCUGAACAUAUGUCCUCUUCUUCCUUGCCUGCUUUUUGACACUGGCAAUGGUUAACUUUCAGAUGCAAUGUAAACGAGUACAAUGAAUGCUGGUUUCUUCUUUGUUUGAAACACCAUGCAAGUACGUCCCUCUUCUCCACCCCCAAAAACUUACAUUGAUGCGGAGGAGCCACUGCUGUCUGUCAGGAGGUGAAGGAGCCCGCUGCCGUCUGCCAGGAGGUGAAGUCCAGUGCCAUCGCCAAGCGUCAUGGAGGAUCACUGCAGCUGGCUGAGGACCGAAAGCCGGCGUGGUCGGGAACCAGGGUGUUUUUUUUUUUUCCCUCUCUCCCCUCUCUCUCUCAGGCUGUCCUACUCUCUUUCUCUCUCCCCUCUCCCUCCCCCUCCCCUCGUCCUACUCAGGUUCCCAGGAGAAGACCAGCUGGCAGCGGAACGGUCGAAGGGGGGUGGGGGGCAGUAGGUCAGGCUGUUUGGUUCCCCGGCCUGAAUCAGGCAUUGGGGGUAUGUGACGAGGAGGAGGGCGUGGCCGGGCAGUGAGGAUCCACGCCUGGCACUGAGUUGCCCCAAUCUUUAUGCCAAAAAUCAAGAAAUUUGUAAUAAUAAAAAUACUGAAAAAGUUAAAUCUAAAAGAAAUGUGUAUACUCAGGGCAUUCAUUAAUUAUAUUUUUUAAUAAUUUCAUUAUAAUGUUUUUUUUUUUUUAAAUGCAUGCUCUAUACUUGGAAUCACAUGUAACUUAAGCUUUCCUCAGCAAGAGGUCACAGUGUUAAACUGCCAAACAAAGUGUUUAAAAAUGCAAAA